rnacentral:rRNA from 1 species
CCAGACUCCUACGGGAGGCAGCAGUGGGGGAUAUUGCACAAUGGGGGGAACCCUGAUGCAGCGACGCCGCGUGGGUGGAGGAGCGUUUCGGCGCGUAAAGCCCUAUCGGCAGGGAAGAAGGAGGACGGUACCUGACUAAGAAGCCCCGGCUAACUACGUGCCAGCAGCCGCGGUAAUACGGAGGAUGCGAGCGUUAUCCGGAUUUAUUGGGUUUAAAGGGUGCGCAGGCGGCCUGUUAAGUCAGCGGUAAAAGCCGGGGGCUCACCCCCGGCGAGCCGUUGAAACUGGCGGGCUGGAGUUGGAGAGAAGUACGCGGAAUGCGCGGUGUAGCGGUGAAAUGCUUAGAUAUCGCGCAGAACCCCGAUUGCGAAGGCAGCGUACCGGCUCCACACUGACGCUGAGGCACGAAAGCGUGGGUAUCGAACAGGAUUAGAUACCCUAGUA